rnacentral:misc_RNA from 1 species
GAAAUGCGAUACGUAGUGUGAAUUGCAGAAUUCAGUGAAUCAUCGAAUCUUUGAACGCACAUUGCGCCCUUUGGUAUUCCAAAGGGCAUGCCUGUUCGAGUGUCAUUUGUACCCUCAAGCUUUGCUUGGUGUUGGGCGUUUUUUGUCUUUGGCUCGCCCAAAGACUCGCCUUAAAACGAUUGGCAGCCGGCCUACUGGUUUCGCAGCGCAGCACAUUUUUGCGCUUGCAAUCAGCAAAAGAGGACGGCAAUCCAUCAAGACUCCUUCUCACGUUUGACCUCGGAUCAGGUAGGGAUACCCGCUGAACUUAAGC